CAGGGGGUGCAAACGUUGCUCGGAAUUAUUGGGCGUAAAGCGCGCGUAGGCGGUUUUCUAAGUCGGAUGUGAAAGCCCUUGGCUCAACUGAGGAAGUGCAUCCGAAACUGGAAAGCUAGAGUCCCAAAGAGGAUCGCGGAAUUCCCAGUGUAGAGGUGAAAUUCGUAGAUAUUGGGAGGAACACCGGUGGCGAAGGCGGCGAUCUGGGUGGUGACUGACGCUGAGGCGCGAAAGCGUGGGGAGCAAACAGGAUUAGAUACCCUGGUAGUCCACGCCGUAAACGAUGGGUGCUAGAUGUCGCUGGUAUUGACCCCGGCGGCGUCGUAGCUAACGCGUUAAGCACCCCGCCUGGGGAGUACGGCCGCAAGGCUA
rnacentral:rRNA from 1 species